rnacentral:rRNA from 1 species
GACGGAGGGUGCUAGCGUUGUUCGGAAUUACUGGGCGUAAAGGGCGCGUAGGCGGCCGUUUGCGUCGGAUGUGAAAGCCCGGGGCUCAACCCCGGAACGGCAUCCGAUACGGGACGGCUGGAGACCGGGAGAGGUGAGUGGAAUUCCGAGUGUAGAGGUGAAAUUCGUAGAUAUUCGGAAGAACACCAGUGGCGAAGGCGACUCACUGGACACAUAUUGACGCUGAGGUGCGAAAGCGUGGGGAGCAAACAGG